GGGGUCGUAGCUCAGUGGUAGAGCAUCUGCUUGGCAUGCAGAAGGUCCCAGAUUUGAUCCCUGGCAUCCCCA